AUCUACUCAGAGUGCUUGGGUGGGGGUGUGUGUCUGGGGUGCCGUGCGCGUGCGUCUCGUGCGUGCGUUCUCGUGUGCUUCAGCACUUCCUCUUUUGCUCACCUCUGUGCUCUUACUCGGAGGGGGUGACUUCUGUGUCACCUUGAGUAAAUCAUGGUGCUCACAGCAGUCGUGCGGGCCCUGUGCCCUGUGAACAGUCUAUGCGGACUGAAUUGGUUUUGCAAGGCAUGACGAAACAUGACGUCGCUGCUGGUCGCGAGUGUGAGGGCGCAGUCCUCGUGGCUGUGCCGAGCGGUUUGCCAGUAGUGACGUAAUGAUCAAUGGAGACGGUAGCUGGCAUUGGUAUUGCGCGGCGAGAGGUGAAAUUCUGCGACCCCCGCAAGACCUCCUAAAGCGAAGGCGUCUGCCAAGGACGUGUUCACCAAUCAUGAACGAAAGUCAGAGGAUCGAAGGCGAUCAGAUACCGCCCUAGUUCUGACCCUAAACGAUGCCAACCAUCAAUCCGCGUGAGCACCCUAUCUAACGGGCUCGGCGGGCAGCUCCCUUCUUCCGGGAAACCAGAGUUUUUGGGUUCCGGGGGGAGUCUGGUUGCAAAGCU
rnacentral:rRNA from 1 species